rnacentral:rRNA from 1 species
GAUGAACGCUGGCGGCGUGCCUAAUACAUGCAAGUCGAGCGAACAGACGAGGAGCUUGCUCCUCUGACGUUAGCGGCGGACGUGUGAGUAACACGUGGAUAACCUACCUAUAAGACUGGGAUAACUUCGGGAAACCGGAGCUAAUACCGGAUAAUAUAUUGAACCGCAUGGUUCAAUAGUGAAAGACGGUUUUGCUGUCACUUAUAGAUGGAUCCGCGCCGCAUUAGUUAGUUGGUAAGGUAACGGCUUACCAAGGCAACGAUGCGUAGCCGACCUGAGAGGGUGAUAGGCCACACUGGAACUGGGACACGGACAAGACUCCUACGGGAGGCAGCAGUAGGGAAUCUUCCGCAAUGGGCGAAAGCCUGACGGAGCAACGCCGCGUGAGUGAUGAAGGUCUUCGGAUCGUAAAACUCUGUUAUUAGGGAAGAACAAAUGUGUAAGUAACUAUGCACGUCUUGACGGUACCUAAUCAGAAAGCCACGGCUAACUACGUG